GGGUUGUGAGGUUAAGCGACUAAGCGUACACGGUGGAUGCCCUGGCAGUCAGAGGCGAUGAAGGGCGUGCUAAUCUGCGAUAAGCGCCGGUAAGGUGAUAUGAACCGUUAUAACCGGCGAUACCCGAAUGGGGAAACCCAGUGUGACUCGUCACACUAUCAUUAACUGAAUCCAUAGGUUAAUGAGGCGAACCGGGGGAACUGAAACAUCUAAGUACCCCGAGGAAAAGAAAUCAACCGAGAUUCCCCCAGUAGCGGCGAGCGAACGGGGAGGAGCCCAGAGCCUGAAUCAGCAUGUGUGUUAGUGGAAGCGUCUGGAAAGGCGCGCGAUACAGGGUGACAGCCCCGUACACAAAAGCGCAUGUGCUGUGAGCUCGAUGAGUAGGGCGGGACACGUGGUAUCCUGUCUGAAUAUGGGGGGACCAUCCUCCAAGGCUAAAUACUCCUGACUGACCGAUAGUGAACCAGUACCGUGAGGGAAAGGCGAAAAGAACCCCGGCGAGGGGAGUGAAAAAGAACCUGAAACCGUGUACGUACAAGCAGUGGGAGCACCCUUUGGGGUGUGACUGCGUACCUUUUGUAUAAUGGGUCAGCGACUUAUAUUCUGUAGCAAGGUUAACCGUAUAGGGGAGCCGGAGGGAAACCGAGUCUUAACCGGGCGUUAAGUUGCAGGGUAUAGACCCGAAACCCGGUGAUCUAGCCAUGGGCAGGUUGAAGGUUGGGUAACACUAACUGGAGGACCGAACCGACUAAUGUUGAAAAAUUAGCGGAUGACCUGUGGCUGGGGGUGAAAGGCCAAUCAAACCGGGAGAUAGCUGGUUCUCCCCGAAAGCU
rnacentral:rRNA from 1 species